rnacentral:rRNA from 1 species
UACAGAGGUCUCAAGCGUUGUUCGGAUUCAUUGGGCGUAAAGGGUGCGUAGGCGGCGCGGUAAGUCGGGUGUGAAAUCUUGGAGCUUAACUCCGAAACUGCAUUCGAUACUGCCGUGCUUGAGGACUGGAGAGGAGACUGGAAUUUACGGUGUAGCGGUGAAAUGCGUAGAUAUCGUAAGGAAGACCAGUGGCGAAGGCGGGUCUCUGGGACAGUUCCUGACGCUGAGGCACGAAGGCCCAGGGGAGCAAAACGGGG